GGGCGUUUAGCUCAGUUGGUAGAGCACUUCCCUUACAAGGAAAAGGUCAGGUGUUCGAGUCACCUAACGCCCACCA
rnacentral:tRNA from 2 species